ACUCAAAGGAAUAGACGGGGACCCGCACAAGCGGUGGAGCGUGUUGUUUAAUUCGAUGCUAAGCGAAGAACCUUACCCAGGUUUGACAUCCUGUGAAGUUCUCCGAAAGGAGAGUGUGCCGCAAGGAACACAGUGACAGGUGAUGCAUGGCCGUCGUCAGCUCGUGUCGUGAGAUGUUGGGUUAAGUCCCGCAACGAGCGCAACCCUUAUGUUUAGUUGUAUUUCUCUAAACAGACUGCCCUGGCAACAGGGAGGAAGGGGGGGAUGAUGUCAGGUCCGUAUCUCCCUUACAUCUGGGGCUACAAACACGCUACAAUGGCCGGUACAAAGGGCAGCCAACCCGCGAGGGGGAGCAAAUCCCAUCAAAGCCGGUCUCAGUUCGGAUUGUAGGCUGAAACUCGCCUGCAUGAAGCCGGAAUCGCUAGUAAUGGUAGGUCAGCACACUACCGUGAAUACGUUCCCGGGUCUUGUACACACCGCCCGU
rnacentral:rRNA from 1 species